CUCUUCGUAGAAAAUGAAAGAAGUGUGAACUGAACCAAAAAUUUUCCAGGCAACUGAAGCACGCGGCACACAACAUUUGAAGUAAUCGAGUUUGGAUGCACGGUUUUUCUAUAAAUAAAAUACAGUUUAUGCGCGUCGCGGCGCAAGGAUUUUGUUUCUUUACUGCAAUACACAGUUUUGGCUCGCCAGAUAAAUAAAAUUACACGAGCAGAUGGCUCUUCGUAUAUUUUUGGAUGCUUCUUAUGGAGGGUGCUCAAAUAUCGACGCACAUGGCCUCCCUACUUAGAUAUAGGAAAAAAAUGUCGGUUCCUGUAUGAAGCUUGAUAGCUCACUAUCAUUCGAGAAGUCAGCAGGUACCCAGAUGGCUGCUAGGAUAUCAAACCAUCUUAAUGAAUGUCACGCAGAAAUGGAACGUACGAUACCAAGGACCGAAGAUACAUACGAGGACAUUGGUCUUUCACCCUUUUGAAACCAUGACCCAAGACAAAGUCUACCCACCCACUUCCGUUUAUUGCGCAGACGCAACCGACUGCUCGACAUGAUGUGAUCCGCAUGUAUAUUAGACUCGAAAUCUCGUUUCCGUCCGUCACAUACGGGAGAAAAGCGUUAAACUAUCAAAAUGCAAUUUGCGGUAAACAGGGUUCAGGCAUGGAGAAAUGAAUACUGCACCGUAGAUCACGUUUUCCAAUACUCAUUUGCUUCGUGUUUUCCACUUAUAAGGAAAUUACUUCAGUUCCGGUGCUGCUCACGUUUUAACGAAAAACAGGAUGAACGAAAGGAUUGCCACAUAAAUGUUUCGAAUCCAAUUUCAUUGACACGGCCAAUUUGAAAAUCAAUAGGGGAGCUCAAGCAUUUAUCGAUUUUCGGAGGAUAUACCGCAACUAUGAAGAUUGACACUGUGGUCGAAAAUUUUAUGAGUUCCUCCAUCCUGCCAACGUGUUUCAAGCAAUCGUAUCUGUGCAAAUACCAAGUCCCGUGGUGGCGUUAAGCUUUACGAUGUUAAACCUCUGUAACUAAGAAUUAGUUUUACAGAGUUGAAUAAAGGAAGAAUGAACUGAAUUUGAAACUAAUGAAAUGACCGAAAAUGAGAGAAACGUGAUGUGACACAAAAACAUCAAGUAUAUUGGAAUAUUUGAAGAUAAUUCUGUUACAUUUCUGAUUAUUGCUGACAUUUUAACUGACAAAUAUACCAAAAAUGUGAUUAUGAAGCGCUGAAACUGACGGUGUCCAAAGAUUUGAGCGAACUUUCUAUUUCCUGACAGCGUUAUUACAUUUUACCGGCUCAUGAAAUUCGUUCCCGGAAAUUCUAUUUCGAGAGGAUCGUGUUAAUAGCAGCUAUUCGAAAAAAGAACAUUUUUGUCCUACUUAAAUCACGAAAUUAUCUAGUUUACGUUGCUCUAUUAAUAUCGAUGUUUUGAAAUAGCUUUGUUCCUGGGAACGUCGCUGUUCUUGAAGUUCUAAAUAUUUGACAUUGGGAGAUUUAUUGAUUGAAAGACGAAUUAGAAAUUGUUUCAAAGUACGAGUAACAUAGAACCAUAAAUCCAGCAAAUUUCUUUCUCGAUAUUUUACUUUGAAUUUCACGAUCAAAAAUUCUUUGCAAGAAAUAGCGUCUGUCGAAGACCGUAUUAUGUAAAUUAUAAUUCCGGGGUGACAGAUGGUGCAUCGGCGGUCAUAGAUCACUAUACAUCCAAGGAUUUAUGUAACCAUCUAUAUCCUUGUAGCAUUAUGAAACUUUACAUGGUCACUAAAAUAACAUUAACAAUUUUUAUUGAUGAGACAAUAAUAAAUAAAAAUGUG